UACAGAGGGUGCGAGCGUUAAUCGGAAUUACUGGGCGUAAAGGGCGCGUAGGCGGCUUUGCAAGUGACGGGUGAAAGCCCUCGGCUUAACCGAGGAACUGCCUGUCAGACUGUGAGGCUUGAGACCGGGAGAGGGUAGUGGAAUUCCCGGUGUAGUGGUGAAAUGCGUAGAUAUCGGGAGGAACACCAGUGGCGAAGGCGACUACCUGGCCUGUUCUUGACGCUGAGGCGCGAAAGCUAGGGGAGCAAACGGG
rnacentral:rRNA from 1 species